AGUGAACGCUGGCGGCGUGCCUAAUACAUGCAAGUCGAACGGAGUGGCGCACGGGUAAGUAAUAUAAAGCUAAUCUGACCCUUGAUGGAAGCUAACAGUUAGAAAUGAAUGAUCAUACUCCAUAGCAAGGGAUGAGACUAUAUCGUAUCAGCUAGUCGGGGGGGUAACGGCCUAACGAAGCUAUGAAUCGUAACUGGUCUGAUAGGAUGAUCAGUCAAAUUGGAACGGAGACACGGUCCAAACUCCUACGGGAGGCAGCAGUAGUGAAUAGUGCGCAAUGGGGGAAACCCUGACGCAUCAACGCCGCGUGGAGGAUGACACUUUUCGGAGCGUAAACUCCUUUUGUUAGGUAAGCGGUACCUAACGAAUAAGCACCGGCUAACUCCGUGCCAGCAGCCGCGGUAAUUC
rnacentral:rRNA from 1 species